GAUGAACGCUGGCGGCGUGCCUAAUACAUGCAAGUCGAGCGAACGGACGAGAAGCUUGCUUCUCUGAUGUUAGCGGCGGACGGGUGAGUAACACGUGGAUAACCUACCUAUAAGACUGGGAUAACUUCGGGAAACCGGAGCUAAUACCGGAUAAUAUUUUGAACCGCAUGGUUCAAAAGUGAAAGACGGUCUUGCUGUCACCUAUAGAUGGAUCCGCGCUGCAUUAGCUAGUUGGUAAGGUAACGGCUUACCAAGGCAACGAUGCAUAGCCGACCUGAGAGGGUGAUCGGCCACACUGGAACUGAGACACGGUCCAGACUCCUACGGGAGGCAGCAGUAGGGAAUCUUCCGCAAUGGGCGAGAGCCUGACGGAGCAACGCCGCGUGAGUGAUGAAGGUCUUCGGAUCGUAAAACUCUGUUAUUAGGGAAGAACAUAUGUGUAAGUAACUGUGCACAUCUUGACGGUACCUAAUCAGAAAGCCACGGCUAACUACGUG
rnacentral:rRNA from 1 species